UGGGGAAUUUUGGACAAUGGGCGCAAGCCUGAUCCAGCAAUGCCGCGUGCAGGAUGAAGGCCUUCGGGUUGUAAACUGCUUUUGUACGGAACGAAAAGCCUCUCUCUAAUACAGGGGGGUGAUGACGGUACCGUAAGAAUAAGCACCGGCUAACUACGUGCCAGCAGCCGCGGUAAUACGUAGGGUGCAAGCGUUAAUCGGAAUUACUGGGCGUAAAGCGUGCGCAGGCGGUUUUGUAAGACAGUGGUGAAAUCCCCGGGCUCAACCUGGGAACUGCCAUUGUGACUGCAAGGCUGGAGUGCGGCAGAGGGGGGAUGGAAUUCCGCGUGUAGCAGUGAAAUGCGUAGAUAUGCGGAGGAACACCGAUGGCGAAGGCAAUCCCCUGGGCCUGCACUAACGCUCAUGCACGAAAGCGUGGGGGAGCAAAACAGGAUUUAGAUACCCUGGUAGUCCACG
rnacentral:rRNA from 1 species